rnacentral:rRNA from 1 species
UACGUAGGGGGCGAGCGUUGUCCGGAAUCAUUGGGCGUAAAGAGCUCGUAGGCGGUCUGUUGCGUCGGCUGUGAAAACCCGGGGCUCAACUCCGGGCCUGCAGCCGAUACGGGCAGACUAGAGUUCGGCAGGGGAGACUGGAAUUCCUGGUGUAGCGGUGAAAUGCGCAGAUAUCAGGAGGAACACCGGUGGCGAAGGCGGGUCUCUGGGCCGAUACUGACGCUGAGGAGCGAAAGCGUGGGGAGCGAACAGG